GGGUCGUUAGCUCAGUGGUAGAGCAUCUGGCUUUUAACCAGAGUGUCGACAGUUCGAUCCUGUCACGACCUACCA
rnacentral:tRNA from 1 species